UUAUCACAUUCGAGUAAAAGUGUUUCGGGUGAAUGGUAUUCGGGCGAAUGGUAUUCGGGGACUUUCACCCAAAGGUCAUUCGUCCCUAUUUUCGUUGCAUCGUGCGCGUCGGCUUCUCUUUGGCCCGGAACUAUCCAACAACGAAAAUAUAGAUUCAAAUUCGGUCACUAAACUAUGCACAGCCUGCCGGUUGGAACGAUUAUUACGGCCGCAAAUUGGAGUGAGCGCUCUUAAGGUUGCAACCACCGACUCCGAAUUUCGAUCAUUAAAAGGUUUUAAUAGUUCGUUCACACGAAGACACAAACUGUCAAGCUGCUGAUGAAUGACCCUCUACAAUAGUGGAAACAACGACUUCAAAUUGAACGUUGAUGAUGCUGCUUAGCUAGAAGGUGUCCCGUCGAUGAAAUCAAAUAGCAAUCGGAGGGAGCCAAGUUUGGUGAAUAGAACGCAUGCGGUAGUUGAUCUCUAUUAAGUAUCUCAACCGUUUGCCUGGUCGGUUUUGCUCGGUGUGACGGGGCAUUAUCAUCAAGAAAAAUCACUUUGUAUUGUUUUCUC